GGAGACGGCAUCAUAAAAUUGUCAACUUUUUGUGUUUAUAAUCGCGAAAAUUGGCGAUUUUAUUUUGCUUUUGCGGUGCCUGUCUCUUGUUGUCGGUUGCGUUGAAGGAUUUACGUGCGUGGCGUCAGGAUGAUGGAAUCGCAUAUCUGUAUCUGCUUGUUUACCUCGCAAGUUUUACGUUUUUCUGUUAUCUGAAAAUAAUUGAACGUACCAUACUGCGGAAAAUUAUGCAUUUUAGAGACGGAUUUUGAGACUUUUUAAAAAAUGGUGUCAGCUCCGCGCUAGUGAUCCUUAAACGUGCAGUGGCAUCAAGAGGUGGAGACGGCGUCGUAAAGUUGUCAAUUUUUUGGGUUUAUAAUCGCGAUAGCUGCCGGUUUUGUUUUUCUAUUGUGGAGACCGCCUCUUCUUGUAGGUUGCAUUGGAUCACCAUUAGGCUGUGGUCAAGGAGGUUUUAGCGUCAAUUAAUGUAGGGCUCGUCGUUCUGGGAUCGGCCCGUC